rnacentral:rRNA from 1 species
AUACGUAGGGGGCGAGCGUUGUCCGGAAUGAUUGGGCGUAAAGGGCGCGUAGGCGGCCCGGUAAGUCUGGAGUGAAAGUCCUGUUUUUAAGAUGGGAAUUGCUUUGGAUACUGUCGGGCUUGAGUGCAGGAGAGGUAAGUGGAAUUCCCAGUGUAGCGGUGAAAUGCGUAGAGAUUGGGAGGGACACCAGUGGCGAAGGCGACUUACUGGACUGUAACUGACGCUGAGGCGCGAAAGUGUGGGGAGCAAACAGGAUUAGAUACCCUGGUAGUCCACACUGUAAACGAUGAAUGCUAGGUGUAGGGGGUAUCGACCCCUUCUGUGCCGCAGUCAACACAAUAAGCAUUCCGCCUGGGGAGUACGGCCGCAAGGUUGAAACUCAAAGGAAUUGACGGGG